GAAUUGUUCGCAAUGGGCGCAAGCCUGACGACGCAACGCCGCGUGGAGGAUGAAGAUCUUCGGGUCGUAAACUCCUGUCGAGCGGGACGAAUGGUCCGCGACCUAAUACGUCGCGGCAGUGACGGUACCGCUAGGGGACGCCCCGGCUAACCCCGUGCCAGCAACCGCGGUAAUACGGGGGGGGCUAGCGUUGUUCGGAAUUACUGGGCGUAAAGGGCUCGUAGGUGGCCAACUAAGUCAUGCGUGAAAUCCCUCGGCUUAACCGGGGAACUGCGUCUGAUACUGGAUGGCUUGAAUCCGGGAGAGGGAUGCGGAAUUCCAGGUGUAGCGGUGAAAUGCGUAGAUAUCUGGAGGAACACCGGUGGCGAAGGCGGCAUCCUGGACCGGCAUUGACACUGAGGAGCGAAAGCCAGGGGAGCAAACGGG
rnacentral:rRNA from 1 species